rnacentral:rRNA from 1 species
UACGUAGGGGGCAAGCGUUGUCCGGAUUUAUUGGGCGUAAAGAGCGUGUAGGCGGCUAGGUAGGUCCGUUGUGAAAAACUCGAGGCUCAACCUCGAGACGUCGAUGGAAACCAUCUAGCUAGAGUCCGGAAGAGGAGAGUGGAAUUCCUGGUGUAGCGGUGAAAUGCGCAGAUAUCAGGAAGAACACCCGUGGCGAAGGCGGCUCUCUGGUACGUGACUGACGCUGAGACGCGAAAGCGUGGGGAGCGAACAGG